rnacentral:lncRNA from 1 species
GCAAACACUGGCCACUGCACCUUCGUGAGCGAGAAGGUGAAACAGUCUGCCCUGCUCACUCUCCUAGCUGCCUAAGAAUUCUAGGCAAGGUGUCCAACUCUUUCAAUGCUUCUCUUUCUUUCUGUCUAAAAUUUGGGCUAUUAAUGAGACCCCUAGGUUGUUGUGAUGCUGAAAUUAGUUACGGUAUUUAAAGCACUGAAAAUAGCAUCAGAGAGCCCCGAGCGGAUGUUGGCUAUUAUUAUGACGCACAGCUUUGUUCGUUAGCCUACAUUUCUAGCACCCAGCUCUCUUCUAAGCCGCAGGACUGACGUCUUGACCUCCAUGUCCCCCACGCUCCUGACAAUAGGAGAAAAUCAGGUCAUAUCUGGAAGAAAUUUGAAGUUUAUUUCCUUCUCAAAGAUGAAUUUUCUUUCCCAAGCUUGAAAGCACUGGAAAAUACUCUUGCAUCAUUGGUGACAGUAUGGCAUGAGAGGGGGCGAACAGUGCAAUGCCCACACUGUAGAAGCGUCUCCCUGACAUUGUUCAGUUUAUGGACACCGAUGAAUAGGCCUCUCCGACCGGAAACGAGUCAACCCAACGGUGUUAUCACACCACGCUGA